AGAGAUGUGUGAUGACGCAUAUCAAUAAGCGGAGGAAAAGAAACUAACAAGGAUUCCCUUAGUAACGGCGAGUGAAGCGGGAAGAGCUCAAAUUUGAAAUCUUCAAGGUUCUACCUUGACGAAUUGUAGUUUAUAAGAAGUGUUUUCUGUUAGUAGGAGUGGCAAAAGUUCUUUGGAAUAGGACAUCAUAGAGGGUGAGAAUCCCGUAUUUGGUCAUUCCUUUCUAGCUUUGUGAUACACUUUCAACGAGUCGGAUUGUUUGGGAAUGCAGUCCAAAAUGGGUGGUAAAUUUCAUCUAAAGCUAAAUAUUGGCGAGAGACCGAUAGCGAACAAGUACCGUGAGGGAAAGAUGAAAAGAACUUUGAAAAGAGAGUUAAACAGUACGUGAAAUUGUCAAAAGGGAAGCGUUUGACACCAGUGUUGUUUUUCCGAAAAUCAAUUACGAAUGUUUUAUUUUUGAGAAGUUAUGACUUCAUCGGCUUGCUUCUCUCUUUAUGAAACUUUCUUAAUGCACUUUUCGGUUAACAAGUCAACAUCAAUUUCUUUUGUUGUAAAAGGGUAUGAGGAAGGUGGCUUUCUUUUCGGAGAAAGUGUUUAUAGCCUUGUACCUCUGCAAUCGGAGAGAUUGAGGUCUGCAGCGUAGAUCCUUCGGGGUUAGAUACAUUUGUGCUAAGUUAUAGCUUUUCAUAGACAACUUGUUGACUAUGUUAGUCUUGUAGCUUACUCGCUUAUGCUAUUUUACCUACGCUUAGGAUGUUGACGAUCAGCUGAGCGCG
rnacentral:rRNA from 1 species